AGUGAACGCUGGCGGUAGGCCUAACACAUGCAAGUCGAACGACAGCACAGUAAGAUCUUGCUCUUACGGGUGGCGAGUGGCGGACGGGUGAGGAAUACAUCGGAAUCUACUAUUUCGUGGGGGAUUACGUAGGGAAACUUACGCUACUACCGCAUACUACCUACGGGUGAAUGCAGAGGAUCUUCGGACCUUGCGCGAUUGAAUGAGCCGAUGUCGGAUUAGCUAGUUGGCUGGGUAAAGGCCCACCAAGGCGACGAUGCGUAGCUGGUCUGAGAGGAUGAUCGGCCACACUGGAACUGAGACACGGUCCAGACUCCUACGGGAGGCAGCAGUAGGGAAUAUUCCGCAAUGGGCGAAAGCCUGAUCGAGCAACGCCGCGUGAGUGAUGAAGGUCUUCGGAUCGUAAAACUCUGUUAUUAGGGAAGAAAAGAUGCGUAAGUAACUCCGCACGUCCUGACGGUACCCAAACAGAAAGCAACGGCUAACUACGUG
rnacentral:rRNA from 1 species